CAAAGCAAUGGAGAGACGCAGGAAGGUAGCCGAACCGCGGCGAUGGUUGUUCCGCGGGUAAGGGUGUAGGGCGAGGUGUAGGCAAAUCCGCACCUCAUGUGCCUGAGACCUGACACGGACCCGUAAGGGGAAGUCGGUGAUCCUAUGCUGCCAAGAAAAUCUUCUAGCGAGGUUCUAGCCGCCCGUACCCCAAACCGACUCAGGUGGUUAGGUAGAGAAUACCAAGGCGAUAGAGUGAAUCGUGGUUAAGGAAUUCGGCAAAAUACCCCCGUAACUUCGGGAGAAGGGGGGCCCAGAGGGUGACGGGACUUGCUCCCCGAGCCUGAACGGCCGUAGAGACCAGGGAGAAGCGACUGUUUACUAAAAACACAGGUCCGUGCCAAGUCGCAAGACGAUGUAUACGGACUGACGCCUGCCCGGUGCUGGAACGUUAAGGGGACCGGUUAGCCUCACGGCGAAGCUGAGAACUUAAGCGCCAGUAAACGGCGGUGGUAACUAUAACCAUCCUAAGGUAGCGAAAUUCCUUGUCGGGUAAGUUCCGACCUGCACGAAUGGCGUAACGACUUCUCCACUGUCUCAACCACGAACUCGGCGAAAUUGCACUACGAGUAAAGAUGCUCGUUACGCGCAGAAGGACGGAAAGACCCCGGGACCUUUACUACAGCUUGGUAUUGGUGUUCGGUACGGCUUGUGUAGGAUAGGUGGGAGACUGUGAAGCUGACACGCCAGUGUCGGUGGAGUCAACGUUGAAGUACCACUCUGGUCGUUCUGGAUAUCUAACCUAGGUCCGUAAUCCGGAUCAGGGACAGUGCCUGGUGGGUAGUUUAACUGGGGCGGUUGCCUCCUAAAAGGUAACGGAGGCGCCCAGAGGUUCCCUCAGCCUGGUUGGCAAUCAGGUUUCGAGUGUAAGUGCACAAGGGAGCUUGACUGUGAGACUGACAAGUCGAACAGGGACGAAAGUCGGGACUAGUGAUCCGGCGGUGGCUUGUGGAAGCGCCGUCGCUCAACGGAUAAAAGGUACCCCGGGGAUAACAGGCUGAUCUUGCCCAAGAGUCCAUAUCGACGGCAUGGUUUGGCACCUCGAUGUCGGCUCGUCGCAUCCUGGGGCUGGAGUAGGUCCCAAGGGUUGGGCUGUUCGCCCAUUAAAGCGGUACGCGAGCUGGGUUUAGAACGUCGUGAGACAGUUCGGUCCCUAUCCUCUGCGCGCGCAGGAAACUUGAGAAGGGCUGUCCCUAGUACGAGAGGACCGGGAUGGACGAACCUCUGGUGUGUCAGUUGUUCUGCCAAGAGCACCGCUGAUUAGCUACGUUCGGGAGUGAUAACCGCUGACAGCAUCUAAG
rnacentral:rRNA from 1 species